UAAGCCUGUGAAGGUGUGUCGUGAGGCAUGCUGGAGGUAUCAGAAGUGCGAAUGCUGACAUAAGUAACGAUAAAGCGGGUGAAAAGCCCGCUCGCCGGAAGACCAAGGGUUCCUGUCCAACGUUAAUCGGGGCAGGGUGAGUCGACCCCUAAGGCGAGGCCGAAAGGCGUAGUCGAUGGGAAACGGGUUAAUAUUCCCGUACUUGGUGUUACUGCGAAGGGGGGACGGAGAAGGCUAUGUUGGCCGGGCGACGGUUGUCCCGGUUUAAGCGUGUAGGUGUGUGUUCCAGGUAAAUCCGGUUCACUUUAACACUGAGGCGUGACGACGAGGCACUACGGUGCUGAAGCAACAAAUGCCCUGCUUCCAGGAAAAGCCUCUAAGCAUCAGGUAACAUCAAAUCGUACCCCAAACCGACACAGGUGGUCAGGUAGAGAAUACCAAGGCGCUUGAGAGAACUCGGGUGAAGGAACUAGGCAAAAUGGUGCCGUAACUUCGGGAGAAGGCACGCUGACACGUAGGUGAAGUGAUUUACUCAUGGAGCUGAAGUCAGUCGAAGAUACCAGCUGGCUGCAACUGUUUAUUAAAAACACAGCACUGUGCAAACACGAAAGUGGACGUAUACGGUGUGACGCCUGCCCGGUGCCGGAAGGUUAAUUGAUGGGGUCAGCGCAAGCGAAGCUCCUGAUCGAAGCCCCGGUAAACGGCGGCCGUAACUAUAACGGUCCUAAGGUAGCGAAAUUCCUUGUCGGGUAAGUUCCGACCUGCACGAAUGGCGUAAUGAUGGCCAGGCUGUCUCCACCCGAGACUCAGUGAAAUUGAACUCGCUGUGAAGAUGCAGUGUACCCGCGGCAAGACGGAAAGACCCCGUGAACCUUUACUAUAGCUUGACACUGAACAUUGAGCCUUGAUGUGUAGGAUAGGUGGGAGGCUUUGAAGUGUGGACGCCAGUCUGCAUGGAGCCGACCUUGAAAUACCACCCUUUAAUGUUUGAUGUUCUAACGUGGACCCGUGAUCCGGGUUGCGGACAGUGUCUGGUGGGUAGUUUGACUGGGGCGGUCUCCUCCUAAAGAGUAACGGAGGAGCACGAAGGUUGGCUAAUCCUGGUCGGACAUCAGGAGGUUAGUGCAAUGGCAUAAGCCAGCUUGACUGCGAGCGUGACGGCGCGAGCAGGUGCGAAAGCAGGUCAUAGUGAUCCGGUGGUUCUGAAUGGAAGGGCCAUCGCUCAACGGAUAAAAGGUACUCCGGGGAUAACAGGCUGAUACCGCCCAAGAGUUCAUAUCGACGGCGGUGUUUGGCACCUCGAUGUCGGCUCAUCACAUCCUGGGGCUGAAGUAGGUCCCAAGGGUAUGGCUGUUCGCCAUUUAAAGUGGUACGCGAGCUGGGUUUAGAACGUCGUGAGACAGUUCGGUCCCUAUCUGCCGUGGGCGCUGGAGAACUGAGGGGGGCUGCUCCUAGUACGAGAGGACCGGAGUGGACGCAUCACUGGUGUUCGGGUUGUCAUGCCAAUGGCACUGCCCGGUAGCUAAAUGCGGAAGAGAUAAGUGCUGAAAGCAUCUAAGCACGAAACUUGCCCCGAGAUGAGUUCUCCCUGAGACUUAAAGUCUCCUGAAG
rnacentral:rRNA from 1 species